GGGUGAGUAACCCAUUUUUCCACCCUUCCCUUAAACUGGGGGGAUACCCUUUGGAAAGAAAAGUUUAAUCCCCGAUUAUUUUACCAUUUCCUCCUGGUUUUGGUUUUUUAAAAUUUUUCGGUUAUAGAAUGGGGAGGCGCUCCAUUAGACAGUUGGGGAGGCCAACGGCUUCCCCAAUUCUACGAUGGAUAGGGGUUUGAGAGGAAGGUCCCCCACAUUGAAACUGAGACACGGUCCAAACUCCUACGGGAGGCAGCAGUGAGGAAUAUUGUCAAAUGGACGAGAGUCUGAACCAGCCAAGUAGCGUGAAGGAUGACUGCCCUAUGGGUUGUAAACUUCUUUUAUAAGAGAAUAAAGUGUCCCACGUGUGGGAUUUUGUAUGUAUCUUAUGAAUAAGGAUCGGCUAACUCCGUGCCAGCAGCCGCGGUAAUACGGAGGAUCCGAGCGUUAUCCGGAUUUAUUGGGUUUAAAGGGUGCGUAGGCGGACUGAUAAGUCAGCUGUGAAAGUUUACGGCUCAACCGUGAAAUUGCAGUUGAUACUGUUAGUCUUGAGUAUACAUGAGGUGGGCGGAAUUUGUGGUGUAGCGGUGAAAUGCUUAGAUAUCACAAAGAACUCCAAUUGCGAAGGCAGCUCACUGGGGUAUAACUGACGCUGAGGCACGAAGGUGUGGGUAUCAAACAGGAUUAGAUGCCCUGGUAGUCCACACAGUAAACGAUGAAUACUCGCUGUUUGCGAUACACAGCAAGCGGCCAAGCGAAAGC
rnacentral:rRNA from 1 species